rnacentral:rRNA from 1 species
AUUGAACGCUGGCGGCAGGCCUAACACAUGCAAGUCGAGCGGAGCGGCGGACGGGUGAGUAAUGCUAAGGAAUCUGCCUGGUAGUGGGGGAUAACGACCGGAAACGGGAGCUAAUACCGCAUACUAUUAGAUGAGCCUAGGCCGGAUUAGCUAGUUGGUGGGGUAAAGGUCUACCAAGGCGACGACCCGUACCCGGUAUGAGAGGAUGAUCAGUCACACUGGACCUGAGACACGUUCCCUACUCCUACGGGAGGCAGCAGUGGGGAAUAUUGGACAAUGGGCGAAAGCCUGAUCCAGCCAUGCCGCGUGUAUGAAGAAGGUCUUCGGGUUGUAAAGCACUUUAAGUUGGGAGGCGUUACCAGCAGAAUAAGCACCGGCUAACUUCGUGCCAGCAGCCGCGGUAAUAC